UCCAUUUAUAGAAGACGACGAAAUUAGGUUCCAGAAGUUUCCAUUUUCUUUGGCAAUAAAAAAAGAAAACGCGAGGAAUUUGUCUUCAAUUCAAACUCCUUCCAGAUCUCAUCUUUGAUCAACAACGAUUUAGCUGUUUAAUUUGAUCUCACGCCACAGGUAAUUCAAAUUCAUUCCGGAGAUUUCUUCUGACCUUAAUUCUUCCUUUAUUCCGUAGGCUCAAGAUCAUCAUUUUGCUCGAAUUUAACUUCACAAUCCAAGGAGUUCGAACGAUUUCUUGAAUUCGAUGCAGGAGCAACGUCUUCCCUACGGCUGCGCCUUCAGAUAAGUUUAAUUUCCAUGGCGCCUAGUGGAAUGUUCUAUGUUUUUUAGUUUAGAAUUUCAUUGAAGGUCUGGUUUUAAAUCUUGAAUUGGCUUGGGGAAACUGAAUGAAUUGGGGUGUAGUUACAAAUCUGAAUCUGCUUUUAAGUUGGGAUUACGUGUUCUUCAUAUGAGUGAAUAUGAAUUUAUUACCAUUUUAAGAAAAUACAUCGUCUUAUCUCUGGAGUAAAAUUAGGUUAUAUUGUUGUUUGAGCAAUAAAAUUAAGAAAGCUUUGUUGUAGAUUCAAUCCUUACUCAAAAUGGCACCUACAGGUCACAAGCUUGAAUGCUUCACAAUGUCUGAAGUUGUUGAAAGAUGACAACCUUGGAAUAUCAAACAUCCCGAACAGAAAUGUCAAAAUCGAAAGAGCAAGCGCAGGAAAACUUAGAGGGAAAGAUAUAAUGAAAAUCACACUUUUUAUAAGUUUAUUGUCAUCUGAAGUAUUACACUCUGCUGUACACACGGUUGUUCUUCCUCGGGAAAUGCAAAUAAAAGGAAAACUAAAUUGCAGACCACCUAACUUCUCUCCUGAAAAAAA